UGUCAAUUCUAAAACAGGGAAGAGAAAAUGAUUUGGCUCAUUUUGACUGAACGGUGAAAAUGACAGAUGGAGGCGGAGAGUGUUCCACAUUCCUAAGGCUGUUGAUUCUACCAGGGGUGAAGAGGCUUUGGGAUAAAGCAUUCUCAUAAUCAACAGUAGGCUUUUGUUUGGACCAUCCUUUAUGCAUCAGUGGUGGAAGGAGGGAUGAAAACAGUGCGGAACAAUGGAAAACAACCUCUGCAUAAGUUAAAAAAAAAAAAAAAAAGCAAAGCA